rnacentral:tRNA from 1 species
GCGGGCGUGGCGGAAUGGUAGACGCAACGGACUUAAAAUCCGUAGGGCGCAAGCCCGUGCUGGUUCGAGUCCAGCCGCCCGCACCA